rnacentral:lncRNA from 1 species
GUCCAAUCAAUGUGUACAUGUGCAAAAGCAACAUUCUAAUCUUGUUCACAAAAGUUACUAAUACACAGCAGGAAUGUCAAUGAUCAAAACUGGACGAAUAUACAGUUAUCCUCAUUUUAACAGGUCUGGUUUCAUUGCCCGAAGGAGCUAUAUAGCUAGAACGAGCUAAAAUAGCUCGUUCUAGCUAUAUAUCGAACAAAAGAAGGGUACAAAACCGCCUUUUUUCAUAUUUAUCCGAAUUAUCGAACGUAGACGGAACCAAUGUCACUCGCUUUUCACUUGUACUUGUCAAUAUGAGAAGUUAUAUCAACAUCAAACCUCCACUUUUUUUAGCAAAUUUGGCGUAAAAAACAAGGGCUUUUGAAAAACACCUACAAUAUGGGGUGAAAACCAUAUAAAUAGAUAAAUGUCGCUGAAAUUUACACUGUUAUAUGAUUUCUGUUCAACUUCCGCAUCCUGGUGACCGUUGAUCAUACGGAUUCAUCAACUAAUUUAAACGAAUUCUUUGUUUUUUAUUAAUUAACUACAGGGGGUUCCCAUAAUUAAACUGGUUUUUAAUUUAUUUUUUUAUUGUUUGUUUUUUCUUAAAAUGUUGAUUUUAUUCCAUCAUAUGACGAGUCUGCAAUUUUCACUGUUUGCCUUGUUCUCGGUGCUUCCGGGGGAUCUACUUUCCAGAUUUUAUUCCUGUACACGGGUUUUGGACUUCCUGUACACGGGUUCUGUGACCUUCAGACGAGUCAUAUCUAUUUUCCAGUGUCUGUGUUUAGCAUUUUUCAGUGCACUAUGAAAACAAAUGGCAAAAACCCUGGAAAGAAUGUAAAGGGUCAAAAAUCAAGAGCUAAAAACCACCAUAAAGGAUCAGUGGUAGUGGAAUAUAUAACUGAUGCUGAAAAAAGGGCAAAUACUACGUAUAAAAGGAAGCCUACCAUUUUUAAAAAGACUCAAGAGUUGUCUACUAUGACAAAAGAAGAAUUCAGUGUUGACUGGAAGACUGAGUCAGGUGUCUGUGGCAAUUGGAAAACAAAGGAAUGUUCAAUAGGUAUGUUUUUAUAGUUAAAAUA